UACGGAAGGCAGCAGUGGGGAAUAUUGCACAAUGGGCGCAAGCCUGAUGCAGCCAUGCCGCGUGUAUGAAGAAGGCCUUCGGGUUGUAAAGUACUUUCAGUCGUGAGGAAGGUGUUAAGGUUAAUAACCUUAGCAAUUGACGUUAGCGACAGAAGAAGCACCGGCUAACUCCGUGCCAGCAGCCGCGGUAAUACGGAGGGUGCGAGCGUUAAUCGGAAUUACUGGGCGUAAAGGGCACGCAGGCGGUUAAUUAAGUUGGAUGUGAAAUCCCCGGGCUUAACCUGGGAAUGGCAUUCAAGACUGGUUAGCUAGAGUCUUGUAGAGGGGGUAGAAUUCCAUGUGUAGCGGUGAAAUGCGUAGAGAUGUGAGGAAUACCGGUGCGAAGGCGGCCCCUGGACAAGACUGACGCUCAUGUGCGAAAGCGUGGGGAGCAAACAGGGAUUAGAUACC
rnacentral:rRNA from 1 species